AUUGUUUUUGCGUGUUGGGAGAUAGAGUGGCUAUGCAGCAGGAGGAUGGACUGGGGCUUUCAGAGGUGGUGGACUGUGUGGCUCUGUUGGAAGGGGAAUUGCCUUUCCUGUUUCUGGCCUUGCUCUGAAGAAUGCAGGUGCUCAUGGCUUUGGCCGUUCCUCAGGCUGCUGUUGUCCUUGCUCCUCCAGCAUGGGUGAGGCACGGCUGCCUCACCGAGUGAGGACAUGGAAGAGGAAAACACCUUUCAGUAAAACAAGUCCGACUGCACCUUCAGCAGUAGCAGGCCCUCAGCUGGCACCUCUCAAACGCCGACGUUGGACUGCUGGCAGCGUGCGUGCUGUUGAUGUGGCCGGACUGGUCUGCAGGCAGCGGUGGGCAGUCUGCGUGCACAAGUCUGUGUGGGCUGCGGGUCCUUGCCAGCCAUCUGUCAGCGGCCAUUUCCAGGCUCUUUCCUACAGCUCCAGCCAGCUGUGCCAGUCUAUUUGUGCUUAUGGUUUAACGGCAGAAACCCGCUGAUUUUUUUUCUAACUGGUGCUGCUUAGGAACAGGUUUGCUGCAGGCAAAACGAACACGCAGAAUGUUUGUGUAUUUUUUUUUUCCUGUCCUCUCAGAGAUUUCUAGUUUUGAUUCAAUCUCUUUCUCAGCCUGUCAUUUGAUCAAUCAGUAGCUGAGUGCGUGUGGACAUUGUUGCUUAACUCUAGCUGGGUCCUGCAGUGGUGUCAGAAAGGCCUCUGGCUAGCUUGUAGUAUGGGGAAUGGUUUUCUGCAGAAGCACGUGUGCUGAGCUGUGAAGCAGGUGGUGAGUCUGCAGCAGCCUGCAGCAAAUACUGAACUUGUUACUGCUGAACAAUGCCAGGCGUAUGCUUGUGUGGGAAUAAAGUCAGCCAAGACGUAAUCACAUUCUGCGGUGUUCACCAAGUGUAGCUCUUGUGGGUACAGAAAGUCCAGACAGGAAUACAAAACCUUUGUUCCGGCUGUCCUCUGGUUAUGUGGAAUGAGCUAUUGCGGAUCCAGCUCUUGGCUCUUGAGUAAUUUCCGAAAAUAGUGCAAACAUAAUCCUUUCUGAGGGCACAGAUGGUGGUAUUGUGGCUUUAUGCACUGUUGUGCUGUGAGUUAGAGAAGUAUGGUGUUGUCAAUAUAUUGCUCAAAGUAAGGGAACUGGAAAAAAAGCCUCUUUCUACUGUUUAAAUUUAGUCAUGUAUCUACUGGAAGGGGUUUCUGAUACGUGCAAAAUUCCUUGCCAGUCUAUUUUUUUGCCCAUUUACAGUCCAAAGCAUUUUUUGUCCUGAAACUUUAAUACAGAAUCAGCAAAUCUCACCUGAAGGGCUUGAAAGUUGAGAUUGCUCCACUGAGCUUCAUGAAAAAAGCUGUAUUUUGGUUUGUAUUUGUGGAAAGAUGAGUUCUGCGUAUGACUGUUUUAUCAUUUGUUAAACUGAUCUGUUUCAUCUCAUUUUAAUAAUUCAAUGAUCCUUGAAGUACUGGGUGCUUAGUCUAACCUGAGGAGCAAGGUUCAUCCUUAGAGAUGUCAUCAUCUAGGAUCUUUUCAGGUUAGUAAAAGUAAGCUUCUUGGGUAGUGUCUAAGUAAAAUUUGAAAUAGGAAAAUGAUUUUUCAGAAGGUUCUGUAUCUCUUUUUGGGAUACAAUCUGUAUGAAAUUUGUCGCAUGCAGAUUCUGCACAACACAAAUUCUUUAAACCUAUAAAUUACCUGCAUGUUCUUGCAAUAAAAGAUUGUAA